GAGCUUUCGAGGCUUUUUCCGGCGAAUCCACGGCGAGUUAGGGGUCGAGGCAGAAAUUCCGGCAAAACACCCACCUCCGGCGAAACCAGUCCGGCGACGCGAGGAAGAAGACGCGCGCGUGGGCAGCGCGUAGACUGGGCGCGUGGAGGCGCGUGAGAGCUCCAAAUUGCGUUCUGAAAAUUGUCACGUGUUCGUGACGUCGUGUAGAUCACCGUGGUAUAUUCACACACUCAAAUCGAGCAACGUAUGAGAAAGUUAUUGACGAAUGUUUGGUGUAUGCGCGUUAAAUAACGAUAAUUUGGUUACUUUUUGUAUAGGUGAAAAUUAUACAGAAGAAGAAUGUAACCAAUCUAGGGGAGGCUCAGGGACCCACGAGACGUCGAUGUGAUCAGUUUAAGAUAUCAGAGCUUGGUGGCUACGAGGAAUCCAACGGUGUUCUGACAGAAUGGACAAAAAUUAGGACUCACUUUUGGGUGUUUCAUCUUAGAAAUUGUAUCUUUAAAGCUUCCGUACUGUGUAAAUGGUUACGUCACUCUCACGUGACGGCCAGCAUGCCCUCCUUCGGGACGGGGUGUGU